rnacentral:rRNA from 1 species
GAUGAACGCUAGCGAUAGGCUUAACACAUGCAAGUCGAGGGGCAGCAUUAUUUUAGCUUGCUAAGAUAGAUGGCGACCGGCGCGCGGGUGCGUAACGCGUAUGCAACCUGCCUGUAAUUAGGGAAUAACCCGGUGAAAGUCGGACUAAUACCCUAUAUUCUUCUUUUUCCGCAUGGAGAAGGACGGAAAGAUUUAUUGAUUACAGAUGGGCAUGCGUCCCAUUAGCUCGUUGGUAAGGUAACGGCUUACCAAGGCAACGAUGGGUAGGGGGACUGAGAGGUUGACCCCCCACACUGGUACUGAGACACGGACCAGACUCCUACGGGAGGCAGCAGUGAGGAAUAUUGGUCAAUGGGCGAGAGCCUGAACCAGCCAAGUCGCGUGAAGGACGACGGUUCUAUGGAUUGUAAACUUCUUUUGUAGAGGAAUAAUGGCAGCUACGUGUAGCUGAGAUGCAUGUACUCUACGAAUAAGUAUCGGCUAACUCCGUGCCAGCAGCCGCGGUAAUACGGAGGAUACGAGCGUUAUCCGGAAUUAUUGGGUUUAAAGGGUGCGUAGGUGGCGUAUUAAGUCAGUGGUGAAAAGCUGCAGCUCAACUGUAGUCUUGCCGUUGAAACUGAUAUGCUAGAGAGGAGACGAGGUAUGCGGAAUGUGUGGUGUAGCGGUGAAAUGCAUAGGAUAUCACACAGAACGCCGAUUGCGAAGGCAGCGUACCAGGCUCCGUCUGACACUGAAGCACGAAAGCGUGGGGAUCAAACAGGAUUAGAUACCCUGGUAGUCCACGCAGUAAACGAUGAAUACUAGAUUUUUGCGAUAUAGUGUAAGAGUCUAAGCGAAAGCGAUAAGUAUUCCACCUGGGGAGUACGCCGGCAACGGUGAAACUCAAAGGAAUUGACGGGGGCCCGCACAAGCGGAGGAACAUGUGGUUUAAAUUCGAUGAUACGCGAGGAACCUUACCCGGGGAUUGAAAUUUAGGAUCGCGGGCAGAUGAAGAGUUUUG